GAUGCUUAAGAAGAGCUUGACAAUCUUAUUAAGUGAGAAGGAAUUUUGAUUUUUAAUAGAAAUGGAAUCAAUUUGACCAACUUCGAUCUCCAUUCUGCUCUCACAAAGGAUCAACAAAGUAGGGAGCUUUCUCAAUGUCAUGUAUCUAAGCUAGCCAAGAAACUGAGGGUGAAGGAAGAAGAGGUAAAAUUGAAGCCUGUUAUUGCAUUCGAUUGUGAUUAAACAUUUGGUGGCUACUGCAAUAUCUUUAGCAUCCCCUGUGGAGCAAAGCAAGGUAGCAACUAGUUCCUAGGUGAUUGGAGUGGUCUAGCAUCUUAAAGCUUUUUCAACAUAAGCUAUGGAGUCAAAUUCAAGGCAUUCUUGAUUAUUACCCAUGAUUAAGUUCAGAUUUUUCAUCAUCGAUAAGUAUAUGUAUGGCUCCUUUGGAAGAAUGGGCAUGGCAAUUUAUGGUACAAGGACAAUUACUUAAUGCCCUUGAUGAGAGAUUGAUGGCUAGAGGUGGGUUUGAUGAGGGGAAGAUUGAGUUGGAUGAGUUAGAAAGUGAGGACAUGGAUAUAUAUUUGCUCCAAAAAAUGAAAUCCAAGGAUAUGUGGUCUGAGUUUGAACAAAAUUAUGGCUCUUCAUUA